rnacentral:rRNA from 1 species
AUCAGUAAGCGGAGGAAAAGAAACUAACAAGGAUUCCCUUAGUAGCGGCGAGCGAACAGGGAUGAGCCCAGCACCGAACCUCGCGCCCGGUUGAGCGGGUGCCGAGGAAUGUGGUGUUCGGGAGGAUCGUGCGCGCCUGUCCGGUAUCUAUCGUCCAAGUCUCCAUGAACGGGGCGAGCAACCCACAGAGGGUGUCAGGCCCGUAGCUUAGACGAGCCGAGACCGUGCAUCGGAUCCCUUCCCAAGAGUCGGGUUGCUUGAGCGUGCAGCCCUAAGCGGGAGGUAAACUCCUUCUAAGGCUAAAUACCGCCACGAGACCGAUAGCGAACAAGUACCGCGAGGGAAAGUUGAAAAGAACUUUGAAGAGAGAGUUCAAGAGUGCGUGAAACCGUUCAGGGGGUUAAACGGGUGGGCCCUCGAAGGUCGAACGAGUCCCCGCUCCCGGCACUUGGUUGCAUGCCCUUAGCUCGCGUAGAGACUUGUCCUGAUUUGGCGGCUCUAUUCGCUCAUGCUUUGGAUCGCAAUAGCCGCGCCAAGGUCCGCAAGUGGGGGACCUAGUAGGACUCCGCGACCGACUGGGUGUCUGUUACACGGGGCGUUUCCGUUAGCGAGUUUCGUGGUUGCCUUCGCGGGUGCCGCGUUAACGAGCGCGGCGUUUUCCUAACAGUACUGCCCGGUCGUGACCUGUCUCCUCCCGGGAGGUGUCGUCUGCAAAAUUUAUUUUUUUUGCUUGCGGUGCUCAACCCGUGGAGGCCAGAGCGGAGAGUAGAAGUCGGGUCCCACCCGACCCGUCUUGAAACACGGACCAAGGAGUCUAACAUGUGCGCGAGUCGUCGAGAUUUCAUACUAAACUCGCGAGGCGCAAUGAAAGUGAAGCGGCCCCGAUGAGGGUGCAUCCGCGAGGGGUGAUCCCGUCUCGAACAGAGCGGGCGCAACCCCUGGGCGUCCGAAUGCUCGCGAGAUCUUUCCUGAUCUCCCCUUAAAAGGAGGUUUCUGGUUUGAUCGAGUCGGCCGGACGAACCAAGAGCGUACACGUUGGGACCCGAAAGAUGGUGACCUAUGCCUGGCCAGGACGAAGCCAGGGGAAACCCUGGUGGAGGUCCGCAGCGAUUCUGACGUGCAAAUCGAUCGUCGGAGUUGGGUAUAGGGGCGAAAGACUAAUCGAACCAUCUAGUAGCUGGUUCCCCCCGAAGUUUCCCUCAGGAUAGCUGGUGCUCGCAAAGAGAACAAACGGAGUUUCAUCCGGUAAAGCGAAUGAUUAGAGGCCUUGGGGUCGAAACGACCUCAACCUAUUCUCAAACUUUCAAUGGGUGAGAAGCCCGGCCUUUUUUUUCUUGAUUGAGGCCGCGGCAAAGAUUUGAAUCUGAGCGCCCAGUGGGCCAUUUUUGGUAAGCAGAACUGGCGCUGUGGGAUGAACCAAACGCCCGGUUAAGGCGCCUAAACGACGCACAUUUCGGAUCCCACGAAAAGGAGUUGGUUGCUAAAGACAGCAGGACGGUGGCCAUGGAGGUCGGAAUCCGCUCAGGAGUGUGUAACAACUCACCUGCCGAAGCAACUAGCCCUUAAAAUGGGAGGCGCUAUAGCGUCGUGCCUAUACCGGGCCGUCGGUCGGCAGAGCGAAUAACGUCCGUGUCAGCUCGAAGAGAGCGACGGCGCUGAGGCCCCGACGAGUAGGGGGGUCGCGACGGUGAGCGUUGAAGGGUUGUGGGCGUGAGCCUGCCCGGAGCCGCCGUCGGUGCAGAUCUUGGUGGUAGUAGCAAAUACUCCAGAGGGAUCCUGGAGGACUGACGCGGAGAAGGGUUUCAUGUGAACAGUGGUUGGACAUGAGUCAGUCGAUCCUAAGCCGCAGGCGAAAGCCGACCUAGUGACGGGCGUGAUGUGAUUUUUAUCAUCGCAAGUCUCUCUGUCUCUGUAAAUAUACAUAUCAACACACACACGAGUACGGGUGAGUUGUGCGAGUGGUCAAGUUCAGACAUUCAACAUGUCCGGACGGAAAGCUCUCACCACGCGCGAAAAGUGUUGUGUUUUUGUAUCUUAUGGGGCAGAAGGAAAAAGAUGAGUAAUCGUAUAACGUGAGACGCCACCCAGGUUAAGGCGAAAGGGAAUCCGGUCCUGAUUCCGGAACCGGGCUGCGGCUACGUCCGCGAUAAAACGACUUCAACCCUCGUAAUGUCACGGUCGCGGUAACGCGACACAAACCGGAGAAGCUGCCGAGAACCCCGGGAAGAGUUUUCUUUUCUGCUUGAGGGACCGAGACCCUGGAAUCCCGUCGCGGGGCGAGAGGGUUACGGAUUUAGCUGUCAAAGGCUAUCCCGAAGAGCGUCGCGUUUCUGCGACGUCCGUGGUCGUUCUCGGCUGGCCCUUGAAAAUCCGGUGGGAGGGUUACGUUGUUGGACGUUCGCGCCCGCUCGUACCGAUAUCCGCAUCAGGUCUCCAAGGUGAACAGCCUCUAGUCGAUGGAUGAAUGUGGGUAAGGGAAAUCGGCAAAUUGGAUCCGUAA